GGAUGACGAUGCACCGGUGGCGGUGCGCCCGGUUGCUAACCGGGAGGCACCUCACGGUGUGUGGUUCGACUCCACCGUCUUCCGCCA
rnacentral:tRNA from 1 species